rnacentral:rRNA from 1 species
UAGGGAAUCUUGGACAAUGGGCGCAAGCCUGAUCCAGCCAUGCCGCGUGGAUGAUGAAGGCCUUAGGGUUGUAAAAUCCUUUCGCCGAGGACGAUAAUGACAGUACCUGGAGAAUAAGCUCCGGCUAACUCCGUGCCAGCAGCCGCGGUAAUACGGAGGGAGCUAGCGUUGUUCGGAAUUACUGGGCGUAAAGCGUACGUAGGCGGUGACUCAAGUCAGAGGUGAAAGCCUGGAGCUCAACUCCAGAACUGCCUUUGAAACUAGGUCGCUAGAAUCACGGAGAGGUGAGUGGAAUUCCGAGUGUAGAGGUGAAAUUCGUAGAUAUUCGGAAGAACACCAGUGGCGAAGGCGGCUCACUGGACGUGUAUUGACGCUGAGGUACGAAAGCGUGGGGAGCAAACAGGAUUAGAUACCCCGGUAGUCCCUGAGCGGGCUGGCAAGGCGCAU